GCGACCGGCAACGGAAGCGGCACGGCAAACCCCACCGGGAGCAAGACCAAAUAGGGGCGACACGCCGGGCAACCGGCAGCGGUGUUUCCGCGUCGUCGCCCGGGUCGGUCGCGCGAGGCGCUCGGUAACGGGCGUCCCAGAGGAAUGGCCAUCCAUCGCUUUCGGGCGAGGACAGAACCCGGCUUACAGGCCGUCUGACCCC
rnacentral:RNase_P_RNA from 1 species